AAACCGAACGACUCUCGACAACGGAUAUCUCGGCUCUCGCAUCGAUGAAGAACGUAGUGAAAUGCGAUACUUGGUGUGAAUUGCAGAAUCCCGUGAACCAUCGAGUCUUUGAACGCAAGUUGCGCCCGAAGCCGUCAGGCCGAGGGCA
rnacentral:rRNA from 1 species